UCCCCAGCAGCCGGCACCCGCCUGGCCCAACAGUGACAGAGCAGGGCGCGCAGCCGCUGAGUGCUCUGGAGUCCCUGCCCCGAGGUGCCACGCCCACGUCGGCCUCACCCGGGCAGGCAUGGGGCGGUCGGGCUUAGCGCCGCACCCCGCCGGCCAGAGCCACCGUCUCUCCAGACGCGGCCCCAGCGCCCACUGGGGAUGGCAAAGACGACAUCCGGUGCGCCGAGGCUGCUCACAAAAUCUUCCCACACAGGUUGAGAGAGGAGGGGAUCCAAUUGCCUGUGAGGAGGACACGGCUCCUGGGUGGACCCUGCAGAUUGUGAAGUUCAAGUCACAGCUCCUGGGAAGGUCUCUGUGUGUAAAGAUCGUGGGGGUGAGACAGAUUCAGGGACCACACUCUGCUCUGCUCUGUACCUCUGAGUGUCGAUCCAGCUGCCUUGUGACCAGGACACUUAGAAGAAGCAUGGACCCUGCAAGAGGAUGGGCUCAAGGACAGCUUGCCUGACUGCAGCCAUAAGGAUGAAGCCUCUUCAGGUCAUUUGGCCAAUUUAAUGCCGACAGAAGAGGCCACCAUCUGAAUGUAAUUUAUCUCCUCUUUCAUCUCCUUUCAUUCCCC